GAUGAAGAACGUAGUGAAUUGCGAUAAGUAAUGUGAAUUGCAGAUUUUCAGUGAAUCAUCGAAUCUUUGAACGCACCUUGCGCUCCUUGGUAUUCCGAGGAGCAUGCCUGUUUGAGUGUCAUUUAAUUCUCAACCAUCCCUCGAUUUGUUUCGAGGUUUGGCUUGGAUUUUGGGAGCUGCCGGGCGACCCUACGGUCUUCGGCUCUCCUUAAAAGCAUUAGCGAUGGUGGAACGACCUAACUCCAUGCAUGAACGGCCUUCGACGUGAUAAUGAUCGUCGUGGCUGGAGUGCUAGCGGGCGUCGUGAAGCCAGCGCUUCUAAAUCUCUCGUCGAAAGACGAAACUCGAAACUUGACCUCAAAUCAGGUAGGACUACCCGCUGAACUUAAGCAUAUCAAUAAGCGGAGGA
rnacentral:misc_RNA from 1 species